CACGCGAAGAACCUUACCAACCCUUGACAUGGGCGUCGCGGAUCGGGAGACCGAUCUUUCAGUUCGGCUGGACGCCACACAGGUGCUGCAUGGCUGUCGUCAGCUCGUGUCGUGAGAUGUUCGGUUAAGUCCGGCAACGAGCGCAACCCACGCCUUUAGUUGCCAUCUUUAAGUAGGGCACUCUAAAGGAACUGCCGAUGAUAAGUCGGAGGAAGGUGUGGAUGACGUCAAGUCCUCAUGGCCCUUACGGGUUGGGCUACACACGUGCUACAAUGGCGGUGACAAUGGGCUAACCCCCAAAAGCCGUCUCAGUUCGGAUCGGGGUCUGCAACUCGACCCCGUGAAGUCGGAAUCGCUAGUAAUCGCGUAACAGCAUGACGCGGUGAAUACGUUCCCGGGCCUUGUACACACCG
rnacentral:rRNA from 1 species